rnacentral:lncRNA from 1 species
GGCGAGGACAAAAUGCGACGAUUGAGGCAGCCGGCGUGAUUCCAGAAUCUACUGAUUUUUUACGACCUUAGUUUAAACCAUGAGCUCGCAGAUGACAGAGAGGACGACGACGCAAGAAGACGUAGAAGGAACGGCUCAGGAAAGAGGAGAACUUGUGGCGCUGCUUCUCAGGGAAGCAGCAGCCGGCAAGCGAGAUUCCUCCAACCCAUCAUGCCCAAUGGAAGGCGACCUACGAGGAGAGGUACAGAAAAUAAUAAUAAUAAUAAUAAUAUGGGCAAUGCAUGGGAGGAACCCGACAGAUUUUUCACGACUCGGGAAGUAAUUUUCUGCUCCAAUUAAUUGCGAGCUCACUGUUUGGGUGGGCCUUUCUGAUCACCAGCGGCGUAAAUUUAUUCUGAUGGAUCGACCGUAUUUUUUCCCCAAAAAAUGCAGCGGAAGCUGAGUUCUUGAGGAAGAACACGUGCUCCGAUUGUUAGAACCCGAAUCUUCUUCCACCAGGCGGAAGCUGGGGGAUCGAAGAACCACACAAAAAAGAGUAGAUUCCGACGACAACCGAGGACCACAGAUCCGCCGCCCCCUUGACAGUUUUUUUCUGUGGGAUGGGUUUGGUGGGGGCGAGGAGCAUCCCUCCUCCAUCCCAGCUGGGAAAGAGGAUUGGCUCUCAGCUUUCGAUGCGGGGCGGCGCUCAGCCCCAUCCCCAUCAUCAGAUUCCCCCAAAAAGGUAAUUUUUCUGCUUCCACGGGGCCUUUACCUUCCUGCUUCCCCCAGACGGCGAGGGCGUCCCGGUAAAUCCGAGCCGCCGGGCGGCCGUUUUUCUGCGGCGGCUGCCCAUCAGAAAGGGCAGGCGGUCAGAGAUUACUUUCAAGGUCGUUCGCUCAGGGGAUUUCGGGACCAGGGGAAAAAAGGCCAAAGCGCUUGGAGCAUUUCCUGUGGCUAUGGGGACUCGAUCGACUGUUUUACUGUGGCGACAGAUCAGAGAGGUCUGAAGAAGGGAGGAGGACCACUUCCUCCGCCCUGAGCAGUGUCACGAGAAGGGCUCUAGCUGAUUGGACAGGUGGAUCCAGAGAUGAUGGGGAGGGAGGGAGGGACGGGAGGACUCUCUCAGUUGGCAAUUGUGUAUGGCACGAGAAAUCGCAGAUGAUGCCUGCUCGAUUGAGCUUGGAGCAUUUCCUGUGGCUCAGAGCGCCAGCGCAGGAAAGUGAAAGGCGUAAAUAAGGUGAUUGGGUCCCCGUUCUGGAGCAACAGGGGAGAGGAAGACAGCGGGGGAGACCAGGUUCUGAGAGGGCGGGUGGGGCGGCCGUUGCUCCGUGCAAAGGCAGCGCCGCCGGCCGCCGGAAUCGGGUAUUUAUUUUCAGGCACUGAUGAUAUAGCGCCUGCCGGGCAGCUUUCCGCCUGGUUUCGGCGGUGCCGUCGGACUGCUGCCUCCCGAAGCGUACAUGCGGGAUUCCUAAUUUGUCGAUUUUGCUGUGACAGGACCUGUCACGGGCACAUCGUUAUGCGGAUUCUCAGCCGAUAGCAACGGAGAGAUCCUCCGCGGCACCGCGCCGGCACUUCGCUCUCCUUCAGAAGGCAAUGACGGCAGCGAUGGCGUCUGACCGCACUAUUUCCGGUGAGAUGAAGACGAAUUCAUGAUCUGGAAGAACGAGAUCGCAUGCAAAAACGAGGAACGCACGGAGGAAGAAAGACGGGAAUGAAAAGGAUUCAAUCGGACCCUUGUGCCCACUCCCUGGUUUUCCUUACCUCUUCCGUCCGAGGGCGAUGGAACGAGAAUGAGAACAGAGGGGGUGGGGGGGUGUCGGAAUCUUCACGGACGAGGGUGAAUCGAGCGAAGAACAGAUCAGAACAGAACAGGGGCGCGAAGAAAACGCUUACCUCUCUUCCUUCCCCUUCCUCUCUCCUUCUUCCACCUAGAAUCGUUCGCAGACAAAAGCCGGUACGCUAGGCGUCAAGGAGGGGGAGGAGGGGAGAUCGACGGGGCGAGAGGGAUUAUAUCAUCUAGAAUCGCUGGCAGGGAGCAUGAAGUGGGCAAUCAAAAGGGUGGACGAGGGGUGGAAUCAGCCUCUUUCUACGUCGGAAGAGCACUCGCCCCCUUCAAGCCCCCCUCCCUCCCUCCUCCUUUCCACGCCACGAGGUCUCUCGCCGUCACCCCCCUCCCUCCCUCCAGCUACGCGACCACUUGGACGUCGAACAGCUUGUAUUUAUACCUGCAACUGGGCAUGGGCACGCGCACCGGGGGUUCCCGUUGACAUUAAGCCACCCACACGAGCCAGCGCCAGGAUCUUCUGGCGAGGGGAAGAAUGGGGGGGUCGCGAAGAGCAAUAAAAAGUGGGCUUUUCGUUGGCAGCAGGGUGAUGCGCUCUACCGGACAAAAGCGUCAGUGCGACGCCCAACGCACCUACGACCUGCGCGGCGGCCUCGGCGCCGCCGCCCCUGGUUAACUGCUGCCGGGCGGUCGAGGGGGGACGGCGCCUGCUGAUGAGAGAACUCUUGUUGAUUCUAAUGCGUUGUUCGUUACGAGCGUAGGAUGGGAUUCCAGUCGGAGGGUGGCUGGAUUAACCCUUUUUCUCGUUGCCCGUCUCUUUCCCUUUCUCCGGCGAUCGUCUCCGUGGAUCUCCGAGAACCUUUCCCGAUUCUGCUUCAACUCGUUGUCCGCCAGUCACCCAGUGCGCCGAGAGCGAAUCGUUUUCUUGUAUUCUAGACGAUCUCAUCAACCUCUCUCUCAGAAUGUAAUGGGCCAGUUCCUCCGACGGAUGGCUCCUUCGGGAACCUGAGGCCGCCCAAAGCGAUUAUUCUACAUCGCCAUCAGGCGCUGUUUUCCGUCGACGAAGAUGAUCAUAUCUAAAGCUUAGAGUAGC